rnacentral:rRNA from 1 species
CCUACGGGGGGCAGCAGUGGGGAAUAUUGGGCAAUGGGCGCAAGCCUGACCCAGCAACGCCGCGUGAAGGAAGAAGGCUUUCGGGUUGUAAACUUCUUUUCUCAGGGACGAAGAAAGUGACGGUACCUGAGUAAUAAGCCACGGCUAACUACGUGCCAGCAGCCGCGGUAAUACGUAGGUGGCAAGCGUGAUCCGGAUUUAUGCGGGGUAAGGGGCGUGUAGGCGGGAGCGCAAGUCAGAUGUGAAAACUCAGGGCUCAACCCUGAGCCUGCAUUUGAAACUGGGUUUCUUGAGUGCUGGAGAGGCAAUCGGAAUGCGGGGUGUAGCGGUGAAAUGCGUAGAUAUACGGAGGAACACCAGUGGCGAAGGCGGAUUGCUGGACAGUAACUGACGCUGAGGCGCGAAAGCGUGGGGAGCAAACAGGAUUAGAUACCCGAGUAGUC